rnacentral:rRNA from 1 species
CAGCCGCCGCGGUAAUACGAGGGGGGCAAGCGUUGUUCGGAAUUAUUGGGCGUAAAGGGUGCGUAGGCGGCUUGACAAGUCUUGUGUGAAAUCUAUGGGCUCAACCCAUAGUCUGCACGGGAAACUGUCGGGCUUGAGAAUGGGAGGGGUGAGUGGAAUUUCCGGUGUAGCGGUGAAAUGCGUAGAUAUCGGAAGGAACACCUGUGGCGAAAGCGGCUCACUGGACCAUUUCUGACGCUGAUGCACGAAAGCUAGGGGAGCAAACAGGAUUAGAUACCCCCGUAGUCCCUGUCUCUUAUAC